AGGUUUUUUCCUCUCUCUCUUCCUCCCUCUUCGUCGCUAUUCAUCUGGAUUCUUCUAAACGACACUACGCCUGUGAACCCAGGCCUCUCAGCCCUGCUUCUGAUGCCGUGCGAGUGUUUGCAUACUCCAUCGCUUGGUUGACAACGCUUAGGGUUUGGAUUGCCUCAAAUCGUUCCUCUGCCUGUGACUGCGAUUCACGGUGAGUGCUAUUUGCGAAGCAGUUCCUACGAUUCACGGUGUGCGCUUAGGGUUUGACGUCAUGUUUGCCUUCUACAUUUGACCAUUAACUUGCUCGGACCAAAUUUGUGUGCAUGUGUUGAACGGAAAUUUUUAAUGCCAAGGUAUGACUCUGUGCAGACAUCAUGUUGGCUUUCUACAUUUGACCAUUAACUUGCUUGGUUCAUUUUUUUUACUUAGGUAUUAGACAUUGAUAAAUUCCUUGGUUUAUUUCUAAUCAAUCUUUUUGGUUACAUAUUUAAACUACAAUUUCUUAUUGUGUAGGAAUUUCUGAAAAGACUGUCCAGUUCUUGAUCAUUUAAACAUCAAAGAGAUUUCAAUUGAAAUGCGCAAUCGAACUUGGACCAUUCUUUAUAGCGACCUGUCUCCCAACUAUCCCAUGUUCCUUCAAUUUUUUCGAGCUCUGCAGCUGGAAUGGACAGAUUAUGUUCUUUGCGCCGUUGGCAAAUCCUACGUAUAGUGUGGUGGUGACGCAAUGUAGAGUAGCAAGAGAGUAUAUGAAUGGUUAUGACUUGUGCUGCUACUUGUACUUAUGGUUGACUAAGGUGAGUUUUGGAAAACAAUACAGUGCUUCAGAUACAUGUGCAGUAUGCGCAAUCAUAUGCGUUGAAGGGAUUUAUAAACUAUUCGGGGAGAAUAGUAAGAGGAAUGCAUGUGCAAAAUAUUAAGUUAGGUUGUAUAACUUUUGUAUUAGCUUUCAAAACAGUGCUGGUUUUGGUUUGUCUUUUGCCGUAGAAUAUUAAUCCAAUAAAAUUUGCUUGUGUUGCUAUUGCAAA